rnacentral:rRNA from 1 species
GCCCGCUCAGAACUUAAAGGAAUUGACGGGGCCGCACAAGCGGAGGAGCAUGUGGUUUAAUUCGAUGAUACGCGAGGAACCUUACCUGGGCUCGAACGUAAGAUGACUGUAGGUGAAAGCUUACAUCUCUUCGGAGCAUUUUACGAGGUGCUGCAUGGUUGUCGUCAGCUCGUGCCGUGAGGUGUCGGGUUAAGUCCCAUAACGAGCGCAACCCCUACCUUUAGUUGCCAUCAGGUUAAGCUGGGGACUCUAAAGGAACUGCCUACGCAAGUAGUGAGGAAGGCGGGGAUGACGUCAAAUCAGCACGGCCCUUACGUCCAGGGCUACACACGUGCUACAAUGGCCGAUACAGAGGGCAGCUACCUGGUGACAGGAUGCAAAUCUCCAAAGUCGGUCUCAGUUCGGAUCGGAGUCUGCAACCCGACUCCGUGAAGUUGGAUUCGCUAGUAAUCGCGCAUCAGCCAUGGCGCGGUGAAUACGUUCCCGGGCCUU